GGUCACUCCUUUUAACAUUUAACCCAACUUUAUUUUCUUUCACAGUAAGCCCGCCUCUGUAUCUCUUUCUUUCUGCAACGGUGAAUCUAGGGUUUCAUCUUGCAUCUCCCCUCUAUACUGCGUUGACUAAGGCCUCAAUUAUCAUUUUUCCAUUGUAUCUUGGAGAAAAGCAAGGAAUAGUUUUAUUUUUUGGGACUCUCAUAAGUUUACAAGCAUGGUAAUUUAUCCAGUUUCAUAUGCCGGCUUAACACAUAUGUUGCAUCUUUGAAAGAUGAUCAUGGGCUGGCCCAGUCGGAACUUAACUUUCCUCGUCUGAAGAUGAAGGAAUGCGAUUCUCAAAUCUCGAGCAUUCUCAAGGAGGAGCGCGGAAACAGAGUAAAAAUUAUCAUGGUGCUAGCAAACCAUGCAAGUAUUUACAGGCAAGUCCCUUGAAGACUCUGAUCCAAGAAUGCGACACUAGUAUUGGGAAAAAUUGUAACUUAGGCUUGCCGAAUUACAGACUUACUGCGCUACCUAGAAGAGGAUUUUUCUCCUACAUUCUUCUAAGUGUUUGGUUCUCAAGGAGUAUACUAGUUGUGAGCAAAAUUAAAUUUGGUUUUCCACAUUAAAAUGUUAAUUUGCUAGUUUGAUAAGAAUUGAUUAAUUCUUGGUGUAGUAUUUUAGCUGGACCUGGUAACUCUCCAGCCCUUCAUUAGUUAGGCUUUUUAAUUUUGACUUUAUUUUGUUGUGGAUAUUUGAUUUGACUAUAUAAUUAUUAUAUUCAUUGACCUUGCAAA